ACCACCGCCUCUACUGUCGCGGGUGUCAUAUACCCAUGUACAGCUCGCCAAGGACGAGUUCCUGCUGCGGAGGCAUCAGAUGCUCGUCCGACAUGACAAGGAGCUCGAGCAGAUCAAGAGGUAUGUGUGUAUUACGAAACACCACCGCCUCUACUGUCGCGGGUGUCAUAUACCCAUGUACAGCUCGCCAAGCGGCAGCUCAAGGACGAGUUCCUGCUGCGAAGGCAUCAGAUGCUCGUCCGACAUGACAAGGAGCUCGAGCAGAUCAAGAGG